UUACAAAGGGCUGCCGCUUUAAGUAUUGACUUAUGUCGGAUGAUCUCUCGGGUGCCAGAUGACAAAAUUGAGAACAGAUUUGCAGCUGAAAGAGAUGAGUAUGGAUCAUAUACAAUGAGUGAGAUAAAUAUUGUUGGCCGAAUUACACUAAAUCUUUGGAGAAUCAUGAGAAAUGAGGUAGGUGAUUUAUCCAAAAUGUUGUUUAGAAAUAAGAUAUUCAGUCAAUAUAAUGAUUUAAUCAUUAUAGAGUAUUAGUAAGAUUUACUAUAUAGCUUAUGCGUUUGUCAAUUGCUAUUAUACUUAAGUAGAGUUAAAAUAGUACUUUCUAAAAUGCAAAACUACAGAGGUAAUAGACUUUAAUGUUUUAAGUGAGUUUAAUUUUUUUUUUCUUGUGUCUAAGGUAGCAAUAACUAGAAAGGUCUAUAGCUAUAAUAAAAUAUUGGG
rnacentral:sRNA from 1 species